GAUGAACGCUGGCGGCGUGCCUAAUACAUGCAAGUCGAGCGGACUUGAAAAGCUUGCUUUUCAAGUUAGCGGCGGACGGGUGAGUAACACGUAGGUAACCUGCCUCGUAGACUGGGAUAACAUCGAGAAAUCGGUGCUAAUACCGGAUACUUCAUCACUAUCGCAUGGUAGAGAUGAGAAAGGUGGCGCAAGCUACCACUACGAGAUGGACCUGCGGCGCAUUAGCUAGUUGGUGAGGUAACGGCUCACCAAGGCAAUGAUGCGUAGCCGACCUGAGAGGGUGAUCGGCCACACUGGGACUGAGACACGGCCCAGACUCCUACGGGAGGCAGCAGUAGGGAAUCUUCCGCAAUGGACGAAAGUCUGACGGAGCAACGCCGCGUGAGUGAUGAAGGUUUUCGGAUCGUAAAACUCUGUUGUUAGGGAAGAACAAGUGCUAUUCAAAUAGGGUAGCACCUUGACGGUACCUAAUUAGAAAGCCACGGCUAACUACGUGCCAGCCGCCGCGGUAAUAC
rnacentral:rRNA from 1 species